rnacentral:lncRNA from 1 species
UAAUCUGUACUAUGUUACAGUGUCUUUUUGGUUUAUCGUCAGAAGAGAACUAAAAUUGCCUGAGUCAUAUGAUUCGUUCGACCGAUGCCUUCUACAUUCCCAAUGGCAUCGCUUUGUUGGAUAGACUUUUGCAAGUUCGGCGGCAGGUUUUCACUAUGAAUCUUUGCCUUAUGAGGCUAUCUUUGGUUUGAUAUCUCAUCUUCUGUUUAAGGUUGGUGAAAGUUAUUCAUAUGCUAAGGCAUAUGCUUAUAGGUACCAGUUUCAAUUUUCAAAAGGUAAUUUUAAGUACAUCAAAGAUUCAGUAGUAAGUUAGAAUGUUUAAGGUUGCAGGAGGUGCUUGUGAAAUUGGACCCACUUCUGGAAUAUGUAAGAGACUGUCUUCUACACUCGUGGAGCAAACUGGGCGAGAGAGAUUUUUUUUUUUUUAAAUAGCUAUAAAUCUAUAAUUGAAGCUUGAAGGAAAGGUGUGUAUGAUUAGUACUCCAAGAUUGUUUCUUUCUUCAAUAUCUUUUUCACUUUCUAAAUAUUCCUCUACUCUUUAUUUUUUUUUUGAAAUUUAGAAGCUCACUAUGAAUGUGAUUGAUUGAUAGUGACAUCAAAAACUUGCUAAAUUAUCGCUGACAGAAUUUGUUAUGUGUCAG